rnacentral:tRNA from 1 species
AGCCUAUUAGGACGAGCAUCGUGCAACUUGCGCGGAGAUGUAGGUUCAAAUCCUACAUAGGCUA